UAAGGAAUUGAUGAGAAUUGAAUGAAGAUCAAAUAUUCAUCUCAAAAAUGCUGCUUUUACAAAAGCAGAAUAAAAAAGCGAAAUGAAAUGCAAAUGA
rfam:Oryctolagus cuniculus cont2.79993, whole genome shotgun sequence.